AGUGAACGCUGGCGGUAGGCCUAACACAUGCAAGUCGAACGGCAGCACAGUAAGAGCUUGCUCUUACGGGUGGCGAGUGGCGGACGGGUGAGGAAUACAUCGGAAUCUACUUUUUCGUGGGGGAUAACGUAGGGAAACUUACGCUAAUACCGCAUACGACCUACGGGUGAAAGCAGGGGAUCUUCGGACCUUGCGCGAUUGAAUGAGCCGAUGUCGGAUUAGCUAGUUGGCGGGGUAAAGGCCCACCAAGGCGACGAUCCGUAGCUGGUCUGAGAGGACGAUCAGCCACACUGGAACUGAGACACGGUCCAGACUCCUACGGGAGGCAGCAGUGGGGAAUAUUGGACAAUGGGCGCAAGCCUGAUCCAGCCAUACCGCGUGGGUGAAGAAGGCCUUCGGGUUGUAAAGCCCUUUUGUUGGGAAAGAAAAGCAGCAGGUUAAUACCCCGCUGUUCUGACGGUACCCAAAGAAUAAGCACCGGCUAACUUCGU
rnacentral:rRNA from 1 species